AAAGAAGAGUUCUAUACCUUUUUACCCAGGUUCUCAAAUGUUUAACAUUUUAUCAGAUUUGUUUUCUAUAUAUACAUAUAAUUAUCAAUAUUUUUCCUUAAGCUUUGAGAAUAAGUUGCAUACAACAUGGUCCUUUACUUCUCUAAGUACUUCAGAGUAUAUUCAUUCACAAAGUAGAUACUCCAGUACGUACAGAGUUUAUCAACGUGAACAAAUUUAACAUUACUAAAGAAAUUUUAUUGAAUCUUCUUUCUGCAUGACAAUUCUGUCAAUUUACCCAGUAAUGUCCUUUAUAGCACUGUCUUCCCUGGAGUACUGGUCUACCAUAAGACCGCAUCUCAUACAGUAUGUUUCUGUAGUCUCCUUUAACAUUUGAAAUUUUCCAGCAAAUUUUUGCCUUUUAGAAUACUGAUCUGUUUUUUAGAAAUAUACUUCAGGCCAUUUGUAAACCCUAUUUUCUCACCUGAAACUUCUCUCUCUAGAUCUUACCUAUGUUCAAACUUUGAAGGGUAUUUUUAGAUCUAAGAGAUCUGGGUCUUUAAAGUCAGUCUUGGCCAGAAUCAGGCUGCAAAUGCCAAAGCAAGAGAUGUCAGCAAUGAGUUGCAGGUCUUUGCCAAACAGAGCAUCAUCUGGCAGUGAAAGGAGAGCAGAAGAGGGGAUUUUGAAGUCUUCCUGCACACUUCCGACAACUUGAUUGAACUGGACGCCCUUGGAAGUUCAUGGCAUCGCCUAUAACAGAGUCUGUGUAGGCAAAACCCCAGCCUAUGCUGGAAUUUAACUCUUAAAAAGCAACCUAAGUAGAACACAAGAUUGUAAACUCUAAGGAGAUUCUAACACCAAAAGAAAGUAUGACUUGAGCCAAUGAAAUGCCAAAAUCCAGUUCUAGCUGACAACGUCAGUAGUGGAGGACAGACUUCCACUUGCCAUUUGAGGAAAAAGCAUGUGGAUUCAUGAGCAUAACAGCAGAUACCCCACUACCAAUUACCAAAUCCUGUGCACAUUCCUGUUCUCCAGUCACCUUUUCUCCAUAAAUGUUUGUGGUAUAAAAUGAAAACCUUCCCAAAUAUUAACCAGUCAACCUUUAUUCUCUGAUUUCUUUCUCUAAACUAGUGAUGCCUUCAUUUUCAGUGUCACUGACUUGCACCUAACAGUUCCCAGCUUAUGUUGUAGGUGCUAUCUCAUCUUAAACUGAUCCUGUUCUCGAGUUUCCAGAGCGAGUACAGCCCUGCCACCUCUGGAGUUCAGCCCAGUGAAAGUGCUUUCAGACUUCUGACCUCCAGAACUGUAAGAGUAUACAUGUAUUUUGUUUCACGCCACCAAGUUUGUGCUAAUUUGUUAUAGCGGCCAUAGGAGACUAAUGCAUACUUAACAGGAACUGUUACUCCAGGGAAAACAUGUGACUGCAGACACAGUGGAGAGCCUAACACACAACUGUUAACCCUGUUCUGGGGAGCUGAAGCUUUGGUUUUAAGGGAUUUCUGAAACCAGUACAAUGACUGUCACUUUUCCCAAUGUUCAUCCGGGGAAUAAAUGCCUAGACACCUGGCAGCAAGAGGUCUUUCCUUCCCCAGAGACCCUCUCUUCUCCUAUUACUUAAAGGGAAAAUGUUACUGCUCAUCACUGAAGUCACAUUAUUCUUUUCCUUUCUACCCUGUUUCCAAUACAUUUCAUCCAACCUGCCUUUCUGAACUUUAAGGAGAAUAGAGUCUUGUCUCAGAGGACUUAGGUGCCACCGCAAGUUAAUAUUCAAGCCAUAUCUCAGGCCCUCUCCCAGGACUCAUCCCUGAGAACUUCUGAACUUAAAUUCUCCCCAGGUUCCAACAUCACUCACUUUCUCAUUUCCCUCUUCUGUCUUUAGUUCAGAUUCUUGUCAAUUUAGUCCUUUCCUUACACAUGGUUUAUAAUGAGGUGGUACAGCCAAGUGACAAAAGUUCAGAUGGUCUGGUUAUAAAUCUGGGUUUUUG
rnacentral:lncRNA from 1 species